rnacentral:rRNA from 1 species
AGUGAACGCUGGCGGUAGGCCUAACACAUGCAAGUCGAACGGCAGCACAGUAAGAGCUUGCGCUUACGGGUGGCGAGUGGCGGACGGGUGAGGAAUACAUCGGAAUCUACUUUUUCGGGGGGGAUAACGUAGGGAAACUUACGCUAAUACAGCAUACGACCUACGGGUGAAAGCAGGGGAUCUUCGGACCUUGCGCGAUUGAAUGAGCCGCUGUCGGAUUAGCUAGUUGGCGGGGUAAAGGCCCAGCAAGUCGACGAUCCGUAGCUGGUCUGAGAGGAUGGUCAGCCACACUGGAACUGAGACACGGUCCAGGCUCCUACGGGAGGCAGCAGUGGGGAAUAUUGGACAAUGGGCGCAAGCCUGAUCCAACCAUACCGCGUGUGUGAAGAAGGCGUUCGGGUUGUAAAGCCCUUUUGUUGGGAAAGAAAAGCAUCAGGUUAAUACCCCGCUGUUCUGACGGUACCCAAAAAAUAAGCACCGGCUAACUUCGUG